ACGGGAGGCAGCAGUGGGGAAUAUUGCACAAUGGGGGAAACCCUGAUGCAGCGACGCCGCGUGAGUGAAGAAGUAUUUCGGUAUGUAAAGCUCUAUCAGCAAGGAAGAAAAUGACGGUACUUGACUAGGAAGCCCCGGCUAACUACGUGCCAGCAGCCGCGGUAAUACGUAGGGGGCAAGCGUUAUCCGGAUUUACUGGGUGUAAAGGGAGCGUAGACGGUGAGGCAAGUCUGAAGUGAAAUGCAUGGGCUCAACCCAUGAACUGCUUUGGAAACUGUCUGACUAGAGUGCAGGAGAGGUAAGUGGAAUUCCUAGUGUAGCGGUGAAAUGCGUAGAUAUUAGGAGGAACACCAGUGGCGAAGGCGGCUUACUGGACUGUAACUGACGUUGAGGCUCGAAAGCGUGGGGAGCAAACAGGAUUAGAUACCCUGGUA
rnacentral:rRNA from 1 species